rnacentral:rRNA from 1 species
CGGUGGAUGCCCUGGCAGUCAGAGGCGAUGAAGGGCGUGCUAAUCUGCGAUAAGCGCCGGUAAGGUGAUAUGAACCGUUAUAACCGGCGAUACCCGAAUGGGGAAACCCAGUGUGACUCGUCACACUAUCAUUAACUGAAUCCAUAGGUUAAUGAGGCGAACCGGGGGAACUGAAACAUCUAAGUACCCCGAGGAAAAGAAAUCAACCGAGAUUCCCCCAGUAGCGGCGAGCGAACGGGGAGGAGCCCAGAGCCUGAAUCAGCAUGUGUGUUAGUGGAAGCGUCUGGAAAGGCGCGCGAUACAGGGUGACAGCCCCGUACACAAAAGCGCAUGUGCUGUGAGCUCGAUGAGUAGGGCGGGACACGUGGUAUCCUGUCUGAAUAUGGGGGGACCAUCCUCCAAGGCUAAAUACUCCUGACUGACCGAUAGUGAACCAGUACCGUGAGGGAAAGGCGAAAAGAACCCCGGCGAGGGGAGUGAAAAAGAACCUGAAACCGUGUACGUACAAGCAGUGGGAGCCCCACCACCAAAGCAUUUGCUGUACCGCGUUGACGGAGCGAAGCGACGUCAAACCGAUAAAACAGCAGUGUAAAGUGAGCCGCAGGGCGCUUUGCGCGACAGCGCAAAGGCAGGCGGUUUCGCGUAGCGAAAGCGAAUGCUUUGGGGUGGGGUGACUGCGUACCUUUUGUAUAAUGGGUCAGCGACUUAUAUUCUGUAGCAAGGUUAACCGAAUAGGGGAGCCGGAGGGAAACCGAGUCUUAAUUGGGCGUUAAGUUGCAGGGUAUAGACCCGAAACCCGGUGAUCUAGCCAUGGGCAGGUUGAAGGUUGGGUAACACUAACUGGAGGACCGAACCGACUAAUGUUGAAAAAUUAGCGGAUGACCUGUGGCUGGGGGUGAAAGGCCAAUCAAACCGGGAGAUAGCUGGUUCUCCCCGAAAGCUAUUUAGGUAGCGCCUCGUGAAUUCAUCUCCGGGGGUAGAGCACUGUUUCGGCUAGGGGGCCAUCCCGGCUUACCAACCCGAUGCAAACUGCGAAUACCGGAGAAUGUUAUCACGGGAGACACACGGCGGGUGCUAACGUCCGUCGUGAAGAGGGAAACAACCCAGACCGCCAGCUAAGGUCCCAAAGUCAUGGUUAAGUGGGAAACGAUGUGGGAAGGCCCAGACAGCCAGGAUGUUGGCUUAGAAGCAGCCAUCAUUUAAAGAAAGCGUAAUAGCUCACUGGUCGAGUCGGCCUGCGCGGAAGAUGUAACGGGGCUAAACCAUGCACCGAAGCUGCGGCAGCGACACUGUGUGUUGUUGGGUAGGGGAGCGUUCUGUAAGCCUGUGAAGGUGUGUCGUGAGGCAUGCUGGAGGUAUCAGAAGUGCGAAUGCUGACAUAAGUAACGAUAAAGCGGGUGAAAAGCCCGCUCGCCGGAAGACCAAGGGUUCCUGUCCAACGUUAAUCGGGGCAGGGUGAGUCGACCCCUAAGGCGAGGCCGAAAGGCGUAGUCGAUGGGAAACGGGUUAAUAUUCCCGUACUUGGUGUUACUGCGAAGGGGGGACGGAGAAGGCUAUGUUGGCCGGG